UACGAGAGGUGCAAGCGUUGUUCGGAAUUAUUGGGCGUAAAGCGCACGUAGGCGGGUUUGUAUGUCGGUUGUGAAAGCCCAGGGCUCAACCCUGGAAUUGCAGCCGAAACUGCAAAUCUUGAAUACCAGAUAGGGUGGGAGAAUUCCUGGUGGAGCAGUGAAAUGCGUAGAGAUCAGGAGGAAUACCGGAGGCGAAGGCGCCUGCCUGGCUGGAUAUUGACGCUGAGGUGCGAAAGCAUGGGGAGCAAACAGG
rnacentral:rRNA from 1 species